CCUACGGGAGGCAGCAGUGGGGAAUCUUGCGCAAUGGGCGAAAGCCUGACGCAGCCAUGCCGCGUGAAUGAUGAAGGUCUUAGGAUUGUAAAAUUCUUUCACCGGGGACGAUAAUGACGGUACCCGGAGAAGAAGCCCCGGCUAACUUCGUGCCAGCAGCCGCGGUAAUACGAAGGGGGCUAGCGUUGCUCGGAAUUACUGGGCGUAAAGGGAGCGUAGGCGGAUAGUUUAGUCAGAGGUGAAAGCCCAGGGCUCAACCUUGGAAUUGCCUUUGAUACUGGCUAUCUUGAGUACGGAAGAGGUAUGUGGAACUCCGAGUGUAGAGGUGAAAUUCGUAGAUAUUCGGAAGAACACCAGUGGCGAAGGCGACAUACUGGUCCGUUACUGACGCUGAGGCUCGAAAGCGUGGGGAGCAAACAGGAUUAGAUACCCUGGUAGUCCACGCUGUAAACGAUGAGUGCUAGUUGUCGGCAUGCAUGCAUGUCGGUGACGCAGCUACGCAUUAAGACACUCCGCCGUCGGGGAGGUACGGUCGGCGAAGAAUUAAAACUUAACAAACUAGAAGUUAGUACGGCGUGAGACGUCGCCGACGGACGACCGACCGAGGGGAGGUUAGG
rnacentral:rRNA from 1 species